GCGGAAGUUCUCGUGAUUAUGUUUAAUUUUUCCCGAAAAGAACCUUCGGACCCAUCGACUUUAAAGCUAAAAGUGAAGGUUCCUCCUUCCUUCAUUCCGUGUUCGUUGCUCUUGGUGUUUACGUGUGAAGUGUUUGAUCUUAAAAGAAAGAAAAAAAAUCUCGGGGGAAACCGAACUGAAAGAAUUCUACCUUCCGCUUGUAAUCGUAGCUCGUUUACUGCCUGGUUGCACCGAUAGGGAUAGACUUAACAAAAUCCCCGAGACCAACUUUCAGUCCAGGUAUGUGGAACUUGGCACACUGCGUUGGUCUCCUGUAUUCUUCUUCAUCUGGGGUUUCACACAUUCAACAAUACCCGGCAGCAAGAAAGGCUUCCCCUACACGAGCUCCAUGAGAGAGUACCCAGUACUACCAAAAUAUUUACAUCUUACGAAAAACAUUUCAUCACUCACCGGCUUUCAGUGAGAGGUCGAGGCCGAGAGACUGCAGGGCGAAGGAUGGGAAUGUGGG